AACGGGUUGGAUGUUCUGGCAGCUCACGGCGGGCGUGCCACGUUGACUGUAAAUCCGUCGCGAAAGCUACAGAGGUUCGAAUCCUCUACCCGCCA
rnacentral:tRNA from 1 species